rnacentral:tRNA from 1 species
GGGAGUGUAUUUAAAAUAAUAAAAUUUAAAUUGCAAUUAAAAAUUGUCAACGACCUCACCCA